GGCUUCCGUAGCUCAGUUGGUAGAGUAAAACUAGUAAAACGCGGAGGUCAUGGGUUCAAAUCCCGUUAAAGCUA